CCUAUAAAGCCAACGUUACAUUGAAAGUCACUUAGGGUACAUUGCUCCCCUAUACAGCCAACGUUACAAUGAAACUCAUUAAGGGUAAUUGCCCCCAGAUCACUUCUUGUUCUUUACUCAAAGGGAAUCUCCAAACAUUCAGGAUUUGCCUGUAUAUUUGUUUGCAAUCUAUGUGCUCUGUUCCCUGUCUGCUCCUGGCAAUGAUUAGCUCCUCUCUGGGGAUUUUGUUCUCAUGAUGCCAUGUUUCUCCUGCAGAGUGACGUGUCCACCAAACCACGUUCCUUAGCGGGCGGUAAUGUAGUGAAGCAAUCAGAGAUCACCAAACUACAGCCAUUCCCUGAGAGAGACAGAUCGUGUGCUUAGAAGAGACAAAGGAUGGAGAAGUGGAACUGUACCAGGAAGCUACCAUCAUACAGUGCCUCAAGCAAUACUUACUGAAACACAGACGGUUUUGCUUCCUAUGUGGGCCACCAAAGACAUUAAAAAGAAUCUACAAGAUGUUUAUUAUGCUUUCACCAUGUUUUGUGUGUUUAGAUUUUAUCAGUCAUUUCAUCAGUUGCUAAUAAGAUUUAAAAGGAUAAAAUCUAUUCUGGGCCUAAAAUACAUUUUAUUUUUGCUUUUAUUAAAAAAAAGAAUCAAAUGUUAAUAUUAUGAUUGAAACAGAAUGGAUGGAGUGGCAG